UACAGAGGGUGCGAGCGUUGUCCGGAAUCACUGGGCGUAAAGAGCGUGUAGGCGGCUUUGCAAGUCCGUUGUGAAAACUCGAGCUCAACCUCGAGACGCCGGUGGAAACUGCAAAGCUAGAGUCCGGAAGAGGAGAGUGGAAUUCCUGGUGUAGCGGUGAAAUGCGCAGAUAUCAGGAAGAACACCCGUGGCGAAGGCGGCUCUCUGGGACGGUACUGACGCUGAGACGCGAAAGCGUGGGGAGCGAACAGG
rnacentral:rRNA from 1 species